rnacentral:tRNA from 1 species
GUGGACGUGCCGGAGUGGUUAUCGGGCAUGACUAGAUGUCAUGUGGGCUUUCGCAGUUUGAAUCCUCCCGUCUACG